rnacentral:rRNA from 1 species
CGGUUCACUUUAACACUGAGGCGUGACGACGAGGCACUACGGUGCUGAAGCAACAAAUGCCCUGCUUCCAGGAAAAGCCUCUAAGCAUCAGGUAACAUCAAAUCGUACCCCAAACCGACACAGGUGGUCAGGUAGAGAAUACCAAGGCGCUUGAGAGAACUCGGGUGAAGGAACUAGGCAAAAUGGUGCCGUAACUUCGGGAGAAGGCACGCUGACACGUAGGUGAAGUGAUUUACUCAUGGAGCUGAAGUCAGUCGAAGAUACCAGCUGGCUGCAACUGUUUAUUAAAAACACAGCACUGUGCAAACAUGAAAGUGGACGUAUACGGUGUGACGCCUGCCCGGUGCCGGAAGGUUAAUUGAUGGGGUCAGCGCAAGCGAAGCUCCUGAUCGAAGCCCCGGUAAACGGCGGCCGUAACUAUAACGGUCCUAAGGUAGCGAAAUUCCUUGUCGGGUAAGUUCCGACCUGCACGAAUGGCGUAAUGAUGGCCAGGCUGUCUCCACCCGAGACUCAGUGAAAUUGAACUCGCUGUGAAGAUGCAGUGUACCCGCGGCAAGACGGAAAGACCCCGUGAACCUUUACUAUAGCUUGACACUGAACAUUGAGCCUUGAUGUGUAGGAUAGGUGGGAGGCUUUGAAGUGUGGACGCCAGUCUGCAUGGAGCCGACCUUGAAAUACCACCCUUUAAUGUUUGAUGUUCUAACGUGGACCCGUAAUCCGGGUUGCGGACAGUGUCUGGUGGGUAGUUUGACUGGGGCGGUCUCCUCCUAAAGAGUAACGGAGGAGCACGAAGGUUGGCUAAUCCUGGUCGGACAUCAGGAGGUUAGUGCAAUGGCAUAAGCCAGCUUGACUGCGAGCGUGACGGCGCGAGCAGGUGCGAAAGCAGGUCAUAGUGAUCCGGUGGUUCUGAAUGGAAGGGCCAUCGCUCAACGGAUAAAAGGUACUCCGGGGAUAACAGGCUGAUACCGCCCAAGAGUUCAUAUCGACGGCGGUGUUUGGCACCUCGAUGUCGGCUCAUCACAUCCUGGGGCUGAAGUAGGUCCCAAGGGUAUGGCUGUUCGCCAUUUAAAGUGGUACGCGAGCUGGGUUUAGAACGUCGUGAGACAGUUCGGUCCCUAUCUGCCGUGGGCGCUGGAGAACUGAGGGGGGCUGCUCCUAGUACGAGAGGACCGGAGUGGACGCAUCACUGGUGUUCGGGUUGUCAUGCCAAUGGCACUGCCCGGUAGCUAAAUGCGGAAGAGAUAAGUGCUGAAAGCAUCUAAGCACGAAACUUGCCCCGAGAUGAGUUCUCCCUGAGACUUAGAGUCUCCUGAAGGAACGUUGAAGACGACGACGUUGAUAGGCCGGGUGUGUAAGCGCAGCGAUGCGUUGAGCUAACCGGUACUAAUGAACCGUGAGGCUUAACCUUACAACGCCGAAG